UACGAAGGGGGGCUAGCGUUUGUUCGGAUUUACUGGGCGUAAAGCGCGUGUAGGCGGUCCGGUAAGUCCGCCUGUGAAAGGUCGGGGGGCUCAACCCUCGGAUGCCGGUGGAUACUGUCGGGCUUGAGUACGGAAGAGGCGAGUGGAAUUCCUGGUGUAGCGGUGAAAUGCGCAGAUAUCAGGAGGAACACCAAUUGCGAAGGCAGCUCGCUGGGACGUUACUGAC
rnacentral:rRNA from 1 species